CCCUUAGAUGUUCUGGGCUGCACGCGCGCUACACUGAUGCGUUCAACAAGUUGGACCUUGUCCGAGAGGAAAUCGGGGGAAUCUUUUGAAAACGUAUCGUGAUGGGGAUAGAUUAUUGUAAUUAUUAAUCUUCAACGAGGAAUUCCUAGUAAGCAUGAAUCAUCAGCUCGUGCUGAUUACGUCCCUGCCCUUUGUACACACCGCCCGUCGCUCCUACCGAUUGGGUGUGCUGGUGAAAUGUUCGGAUCGGCCGUUUGUCGCGGUUUCCGCGUCAUGUGGCUGAGAAGUUCAUUAAACCCUCCCACCUAGAGGAAGGAGAAGUCGUAACA
rnacentral:rRNA from 1 species